GACGAACGCUGGCGGCGUGCCUAACACAUGCAAGUCGAGCGGGGUUGAGGCGAGGAGGUAACUCGAGCUUCUACCUAGCGGCGGACGGGUGAGUAACGCGUGGGCAACCUGCCUCAAGGUUUGGGAUAACAGCCCGAAAGGGCUGCUAAUACCGGAUAUGCCUAUGGCCUCGCAUGGGGCUAUGAGCAAAGGGGAAACCCGCCUUGAGAUGGGCCCGCGUCCCAUCAGCUAGUUGGUGAGGUAACAGCUCACCAAGGCGACGACGGGUAGCCGGCCUGAGAGGGUGACCGGCCACACUGGAACUGAGACACGGCCCAGACUCCUACGGGGGGCAGCAGUGGGGGAUCUUGCACAAUGGGCGAAAGCCUGAUGCAGCGACGCCGCGUGAGCGAAGAAGGCCUGGUUGUAAAGACUCUGUCUGGAGGACGGAACGAAAAUAAGAACGGUAACCGUACCGGACGGAAACGGACCGAACGGCCGAACCUAACGUACGCCACGCAGCCGCGGUAACUACUCGUCUCUA
rnacentral:rRNA from 1 species